rnacentral:rRNA from 1 species
GAAACUGCGAAUGGCUCAUUAAAUCAGUUAUGGUUUAUUUGAUGGUACCUACUACUUGGAUAACCGUAGUAAUUCUAGAGCUAAUACAUGCAGGAAGACCCGACUUCGGAAGGGUUGUAUUUAUUAGAUAAGAAACCAAUCCAGCUUGCUGGUUGCGUGCCGAGUCACAAUAACUGCUCGAAUCGCAUGGCUUUACGCCGGCGAUGGUUCAUUCAAAUUUCUGCCCUAUCAGCUUUCGAUGGUAGGAUCGAGGCCUACCAUGGCGUUUACGGGUAACGGAGAAUUAGGGUUCGAUUCCGGAGAGGGAGCCUGAGAGAUGGCUACCACAUCCAAGAAAGGCAGCAGGCGCGUAAAUUGCCCGAAUCCUGACACAGGGAGGUAGUGACAAGAAAUAACAAUACAGGGCUUCUAAAGUCUUGUAAUUGGAAUGAGUACAAUUUACAUCUCUUCACGAGGAUCAAUUGGAGGGCAAGUCUGGUGCCAGCAGCCGCGGUAAUUCCAGCUCCAAUAGCGUAUAUUAAAGUUGUUGCAGUUAGAACGCUCGUAGUCGGAUUUCGGGGCGGGUCGACCGGUCUGCCGAUGGGUACGCACUGGCCGACGCGUCCUUCCUUCCGGAGACCGUCCCACUCUUAACUGAGCGGAGGCGGGAGACGGAACGUUUACUUUGAAAAAAUCAGAGUGUUUCAAGCAGGCAGCUCGCUCUUGCAUGGAUUAGCAUGGGAUAAUGAAAUAGGACUUUGGUGCUAUUUUGUUGGUUUCGAACACCGAAGUAAUGAUGAGAAGGGACAGUCAGGGGCACUCGUAUUCCGCCGAGAGAGGUGAAAUUCUCAGACCAGCGGAAGACGAACCACUGCGAAAGCAUUUGCCAGGGAUGUUUUCACUGAUCAAGAACGAAAGUUAGGGGAUCGAAGACGAUCAGAUACCGUCGUA